GUAUAAAACUUUUAUUUCAGCUUUAAACCUCGUUUUUAUAAAAAAUCCCUGUACCACCUGCAUAAUCUCACACCAAAGGUCAUGGCGUUGAUAGUUCACGUCUUUGCUGCAAUAUUCGCUUUGAACUUCCUGGGAUGUCCCGCCUUGCAGCUAGAUCAAUCAGUUAUGGAUCUAUGUCCAGAGUUUACUAAGUUGAAACAGGAUAUCAAGUCUGAACUAGCAUCUAUAAAGUCGAAGCUUCAGAGUGGACAAGAUAAGAGAGUUGCAUUUCAUGCAAAACUACAACCAAGGAUUGAAGCUAUGUUGCCUUCAACGACAAUGGUAUUUGAUUACGUUAUCACAAACAUUGGAAGCGCUUAUAACAAUCGAAAUGGGCAUUUUACUGCUCCUUAUGAUGGGGUGUAUGUCUUUGUUUCUACAUUUCAUUCGAUGCUAUAUAAUAGCUAUGGUCUACAUCUACAAAUGGUCAAAAACAACUAUGUUUUAUCAGAAGCAUCAGCUGGCGCAAGAAGUGAUGGAAGCUCAAUGAUUGCAAUAGUAUCUCUAAAACGAGAUGAUGCUAUAAAAUACGUAAUAAUCCAAUUUAUAGAGGAACAUUUCAGGAAGGUAUGGGUUUCUUUUCUGGUUAUCCUGUGUAUUGAAACCAGAACACACAUAAUACACGAUUUCCAUACGGUUGAUUCUAAAUUACUUUGAUUUGUAUUGUUGUAAUAAACUUUUGUGAAACCUGUU